rnacentral:rRNA from 1 species
AGAGUUGAUCAUGGCUCAGGAUGAACGCUAGCUACAGGCUUAACACAUGCAAGUCGAGGGCAGCGGGAAGUAGCUGCAACUUGCCGGCGACCGGCGCACGGUGAGUAACGCGUAUCCAACCUUCCCCUUAGUAGGGCAUAGCCCGUAGAAAUGCGGGAUUAAUACCCUAUGUUAUUCGUCGAGGACAUCUGAAGUGAAUCAAAGGUUUACCGCUAAGGGAUGGGGAUGCGUCUGAUUAGGCAGCAGGCGGGGUAACGGCCCACCUGGCCGACGAUCAGUAGGGGUUCUGAGAGGAAGGUCCCCCACAUUGGAACUGAGACGCGGUCCAAACUCCUACGGGAGGCAGCAGUGAGGAAUAUUGGUCAAUGGUCGAGAGACUGAACCAGCCAAGUAAGCGUGCAGGACGACGGCCCUAUGGGUUGUAAACUGCUUUUAUGCGGGGAUAAAGUGAGGGACGUGUCCCUUUUUGUAGGUACCGCAUGAAUAAGGACCGGCUAAUUCCGUGCCAGCAGCGGC